GAAAGGGGGAACUUGCAUUAGUAUAUCAUCAUGAAUUUGUGUGAUCUUCUCUUGCAUUUUCUUUAUACAAAAAAUAAAUAAAAUUGCACAUAUGUUUAAAAACCAGGAUUGAAAUAUUCAGUUGUCUCUAGUUUUAUCAUUUUGGAUAGAUCUUGCAUUUGAAGUGUUGUGAAGAGUGACUUUGUUUAGCAUUGAGCUUUGUUAUUGUCCCAAGAGCACUUUUGCUACAUGAGAGUGUUAAUAAUUCUCAGUUUCUGCUUUACUUUUUAUAAAAAAGAGUAGCUAUUGAGAAAACAUGGUACCGUGGUUCAAUGAUUGUUGCAGCACGUUGCAAGUUCAGGUAUGACAGAAAUUUUGUACUUGUCAUCAGACAAACAACUAUGUAAUUGGGUUCAUAACCAUGUUGUCACUUGUGAAAUUGUUUGCUAUUGUCUUCCAUGAUUUGGAGAAGUGAUGACGGGUUAAGUUUUAGAAAAAUUUGAGGGCUUCUA
rnacentral:misc_RNA from 1 species